UACGAAUGGUGCAAACGUUGCUCGGAAUUACUGGGCGUAAAGCGCGCGUAGGCGGCUUUGCAAGUCGGGUGUGAAAUCCCCAGGCUUAACCUGGGAACUGCAUUCGAGACUGCAUUGCUAGAGUAUGGGAGAGGGAAGUGGAAUUUCCGGUGUAGCGGUGAAAUGCGUAGAUAUCGGAAGGAACAUCAGUGGCGAAAGCGACUUCCUGGACCAAUACUGACGCUCAUGUGCGAAAGCGUGGGGAGCAAACAGG
rnacentral:rRNA from 1 species